rnacentral:rRNA from 1 species
CCGUGCAAAGGUAGCGUAAUCACUUGUCUUUUAAAUAAGGACUAGUAUGAAUGGCAUCACGAGGACUUAGCUGUCUCCCUCAUCUAAUCAGUGAAACUGAUCUCCCUGUGAAAAAGCAGGGAUAUACACAUAAGACGAGAAGACCCUAUGGAGCUUUAAACCAAAAACUACCUGUUUAAUCUACUACACUAAAGAUAGUACUAAAACAACUGAUCUAGUUUAGGUUUUCAGUUGGGGUGACUGUGGAGAAAAAUAAAUCCUCCAUGCAGACUUAAGCUUUGAGCAACCGCUCUUCGCAUUAGCAAGUCUAACUGCACUUGAUCCAAUCUUUUUGAACAACGGACCAAGUUACCCUAGGGAUAACAGCGCAAUCCAUUUUAAGAGUCCAUAUCGACAAAUGGGUUU